rfam:Metarhizium album ARSEF 1941 scaffold_21, whole genome shotgun sequence.
GCUCAUGUAACUCAAUUGGUAGAGUGAAACAUUGAAGCUGUUUUUGCUGUAAGUUCAAGUCUUGCCAUGAGCA